UGGUGUGGACUUUCUGAGGUUUCAACUGAAUGCCUGACUGAGAUGCUCAAUGAGUUCUCUCCAUUCUGGCUGAGCUGGAGCUCCAGCAUCUCCUGGUGGUGCAUAGCAAUAAUGCCUUCAUUCAUUCCCAGCCCUGCAGAAGGCAACCACUGCUAGGCCCUGUGUACUGCCUGCCAUGGUGUGGGCAGCCUUCAGCCAAAAACCAGCAAUGAGUCUUCAUCAAGACUUCUGGAAACCCUUGUCCUCAGCUUCUGCUCUUGCACUUGGCUCCCCAAAUCUCAGCUGCUUCUGAGACCACAGCUCCAAUCUCCUCCUCAGGUCAGUGAGGCCACAGUUCUGCUGGAGAUGUGCAGGAAACGGUCCCAGGCAGAGCACUGGGGCAAACUGAGCCUCACCUCUCAUGUUUCCUUUCUCUCAAGAAUUACAGUUCUGUGCUGCCUGUUGUUUAAUGCCUUAAAACAUUUGUCAUGCACAUUUUACCAGCUUUAGAGUUGUUUAUGCCAGGAGGAAAUGCCCAAUGCCAGUCACUCUAUCAGAGCUAGAGGAAAAGUUCACUGUCAGUUUUCAUUUGCUAGCCUAUGGGAAUAUAUAUAUACUCACACACAUACACACACACACACACACUCAUUGCCUCUUAAAGUCAGUGUUACCAGAGAUUACAUUCUACAAAGUCUGUCAGUUGAUCUGAUCUCUGCUUCACACUAUUAGUUAUUUAUGGAGUACGGUGGAUGUAUGCAAUAUUCCAUAAGCCUGAGUGAAGUCAACAGACCUGCUCCAGGGUGUGUACAUGUCAACGUCAGACAAAUCAGAAAUGGUAGGUAGCAAGACUGGAUAACAUUUCAAAGGUGCCAGUCGGGGGUAUGCACAAAUGACAGGUCCCUUUGUUGUUUCAGAGAGCUCCUCAAAGAGGGAACUGACAGCACUUUCUAAGGAAUGAAACACAAAUAUUGAAAAUCCAAGAGUGACUUCUGAACCUAUGAACAGCUCCUUCCUGUGUUCUAUUACACUGCCUUCCCCUUUUCAAGUUAAAAGAGACUGAGCAAUCACAUGCAAAGAAUUUGAUUAACAUCUACUAGAAACUCAGCCCUCUGUGAAUGCCAGAGGAAGGAGCUGGAAGGAGGAGAAGGAAAAGAGAAAAAAAGAAGAAGGAGAUGAGGGUUUCUAGAUGAAAUGGUGUGACUCUUUGAUAACUUGUUUGUGUCAUCACCUGUAAACAAGAUACUAAGGGAUUAUUCAAGAUGUCAGAACCAGCCACAUCCAAGGCAGGUUUAAGGACUAUAGGACAAAACACUGCCCCUAAACUCUGCCCCUCCUCUGGCUGCUGUUGGAAAUCCUGCCAUCAGCUUCAAAUUAGCUUUAUCUCAAGGGAUUGAGGUCCUGACACCAAAGCCCUCCCUGGUGACUAGGAUUUUGCUAUCAGUAGAUGAUCACUCCAGAGGAGAAGUCUG
rnacentral:lncRNA from 1 species